AACCCAUGGUGAAAAUGCUAUCUCAAUAAGUCCUUGUACCUCUCCCAUGCAUCAUAUAAAGUCUCUAAAUCGAUCUGCACAAAGGAGGAGAUAUCAUUCCUCAACUU
rfam:Gossypium raimondii Chr11_contig_367, whole genome shotgun sequence.